rnacentral:rRNA from 1 species
UACGUAGGGGGCUAGCGUUGUCCGGAAUCAUUGGGCGUAAAGCGCGUGUAGGCGGCCCGAUAAGUCCGCUGUGAAAGUCCAGGGCUCAACCCUGGGAUGCCGGUGGAUACUGUCGGGCUCGAGUCCGGAAGAGGCGAGUGGAAUUCCUGGUGUAGCGGUGAAAUGCGCAGAUAUCAGGAAGAACACCUAUGGCGAAGGCAGCUCUCUGGGACGGUACUGACGCUGAGACGCGAAAGCGUGGGGAGCGAACAGG